GACGAACGCUGGCGGCGUGCUUAACACAUGCAAGUCGAACGGAAAGGCCCUGCUUUUGUGGGGUGCUCGAGGGGCGAACGGGUGAGUAACACGUGAGUAACCUGCCCUUGACUUUGGGAUAACUUCAGGAAACUGGGGCUAAUACCGGAUAGGAGCUCCUGCUGCAUGGUGGGGGUUGGAAAGUUUCGGCGGUUGGGGAUGGACUCGCGGCUUAUCAGCUUGUUGGUGGGGUAGUGGCUUACCAAGGCUUUGACGGGUAGCCGGCCUGAGAGGGUGACCGGCCACAUUGGGACUGCGAUACGGCCCAGACUCGUACGGGAGGCAGCAGUGGGGAAUAUUGCACAAUGGGCGGAAGCCUGAUGCAGCAACGCCGCGUGCGGGAUGACGGCCUUCGGGUUGUAAACCGCUUUCGCCUGUGACGAAGCGUGAGUGACGGUAAUGGGUAAAGAAGCACCGGCUAACUACGUG
rnacentral:rRNA from 1 species